rnacentral:rRNA from 1 species
AGAGUUUGAUCAUGGCUCAGAGUGAUCGCUGGCGGCGUGCUUAACACAUGCAAGUCGAGCGAAUUUUGGCAGCGUAUCGCCAGAGUUAGCGGCAGACGGGUGAGUAAUACUUGGGUAAUCUACCCUUGAGUGGGAAACAACCGGCCGAAAGGCUGGCUAAUGUCCCAUAAGACCACAGGACGGCAUCGUCCAGGGGUCAAAGCUCCGCAAGGGGCGCUUGAGGAGGAACCCGAGUCCUAUCAGCUAGUUGGUGAGGUAACGGCUCACCAAGGCUUUGACGGGUAGCCGGCCUGAAAGGGUGAUCAGCCACACCGGAACUGAGACACGGUCCAGACUCCUACGGGAGGCAGCAGUGGGGAAUUUUGGACAAUGGGGGCAACCCCGAUCCAGCCAUGCCGCGUGAGUGAAGAAGGCCUUCGGGUUGUAAAGCUCUUUCGGACAGAAAGAAAUCGCACGGGAUAACACCCUGUGUGGAUGACGGUACUGUAAGAAGAAGCACCGGCUAACUACGUGCCAGCAGCCGCGGUAAUACGUAGGGUGCGAGCGUUAAUCGGAAUUACUGGGCGUAAAGCGUGCGCAGGCGGUUUAUUAAGACAGAUGUGAAAUCCCCGGGCUCAACCUGGGAACUGCAUUUGUGACUGGUAGGCUAGAGUGUGGCAGAGGGGGGUAGAAUUCCACGUGUAGCAGUGAAAUGCGUAGAGAUGUGGAGGAAUACCGAUGGCGAANGCAGCCCCCUGGGUUAACACUGACGCUCAUGCACGAAAGCGUGGGGAGCAAACAGGAUUAGAUAC